AAGGGUCGCUGUAGCACUUUGAUCUGCUGCAUGUUUUUGUCCUUUAAUCGUAUACGAUUAAAGGAAACAUGCAGUAGAUUGCCCCUCAUCCGCCUGCCGGCACCUUCUCCCCGCAAGCGGGGCGAAGGGACAAGCGGCGCCGACUGAACCUCGCAUUCACCGCCGGCUCAAGGGAGCGAGCGGGCGCGGCAUAUCCCUUCUCCCCGCCUGCGGGGAGAAGGUGGCGGCAG
rnacentral:sRNA from 1 species